GAUGAAGAACGUAGCGAAAUGCGAUAAGUAAUGUGAAUUGCAGAAUUCAGUGAAUCAUCGAGUCUUUGAACGCACAUUGCGCCCUCUGGUAUUCCGGAGGGCAUGCCUGUCCGAGCGUCAUUGCUGCCCUCAAGCACGGCUUGUGUGUUGGGCCCCGCCCCCCGAUCCCGGGGGGCGGGCCCGAAAGGCAGCGGCGGCACCGCGUCCGGUCCUCGAGCGUAUGGGGCUUUGUCACCCGCUCUGUAGGCCCGGCCGGCGCUUGCCGAUCAACCAAACUUUUUUCCAGGUUGACCUCGGAUCAGGUAGGGAUACCCGCUGAACUUAAGCAUAUCAAUAAGCGGAGGU
rnacentral:misc_RNA from 1 species